rnacentral:rRNA from 1 species
GACGAACGCUGGCGGCGUGCCUAAUACAUGCAAGUCGAACGAUAGCAACCGGUGGUUGCACUGGUCAAUCUAGUGGCGAACGUGUGAGUAACACGUGGGUAACCUGCCCAUCAGAGGGGGAUAACAUCCGGAAACGGAUGCUAAAACCGCAUAGGUCUUCGAACCGCAUGGUUUGAAGAGGAAAAGAGGCGCAAGCUUCUGCUGAGGGAUGGACCCGCGGUGCAUUAGCUAGUUGGUGAGGUAACGGCUCACCAAGGCCGUGAUGCAUAGCCGACCCGAGAGGGUGAUCGGCCACAUUGGGACUGAGACGCGGCCGAAAGACCUACGGGAGGCAGCAGUAGGGAAUCUUCGGAGAUGGAGGGAAGUCUGCCGGAGGAACGCAGGGUGAGUGCAGAAGGUUUUCGGAUCGUAAAACUCUGUUGUUAGAGAAGACCAAGUGCUAGAGUAACUGUUAGCGCAUUGACGGUAUCUAAAGAGAAAGCAACGGCUAACUACGUG